GAUGAAGAACGUAGCGAAAUGCGAUACGUAAUGUGAAUUGCAGAAUUCAGUGAAUCAUCGAGUCUUUGAACGCACAUUGCGCCCCCUGGUAUUCCGGGGGGCAUGCCUGUCCGAGCGUCAUUGCUGCCCUCAAGCACAGCUUGUGUGUUGGGCCUCCGCCCCCCGGCUCCCGGGGGGCGGGCCCGAAAGGCAGCGGCGGCACCGCGUCCGGUCCUCGAGCGUAUGGGGCUUCGUCACCCGCUCCGUAGGCCCGGCCGGCGCCCGCCGGCGACCCCCCUCAAUCUUUCCAGGUUGACCUCGGAUCAGGUAGGGAUACCCGCUGAACUUAAGCAUAUCAAUAAGCGGAGGA
rnacentral:misc_RNA from 1 species